GGGUUGUGAGGUUAAGCGACUAAGCGUACACGGUGGAUGCCCUGGCAGUCAGAGGCGAUGAAGGACGUGCUAAUCUGCGAUAAGCGCCGGUAAGGUGAUAUGAACCGUUAUAACCGGCGAUUUCCGAAUGGGGAAACCCAGUGUGACUCGUCACACUAUCAUUAACUGAAUCCAUAGGUUAAUGAGGCGAACCGGGGGAACUGAAACAUCUAAGUACCCCGAGGAAAAGAAAUCAACCGAGAUUCCCCCAGUAGCGGCGAGCGAACGGGGAGGAGCCCAGAGCCUGAAUCAGCAUGUGUGUUAGUGGAAGCGUCUGGAAAGGCGCGCGAUACAGGGUGACAGCCCCGUACACAAAAGCGCAUGUGCUGUGAGCUCGAUGAGUAGGGCGGGACACGUGGUAUCCUGUCUGAAUAUGGGGGGACCAUCCUCCAAGGCUAAAUACUCCUGACUGACCGAUAGUGAACCAGUACCGUGAGGGAAAGGCGAAAAGAACCCCGGCGAGGGGAGUGAAAAAGAACCUGAAACCGUGUACGUACAAGCAGUGGGAGCACCCUUUGGGGUGUGACUGCGUACCUUUUGUAUAAUGGGUCAGCGACUUAUAUUCUGUAGCAAGGUUAACCGAAUAGGGGAGCCGGAGGGAAACCGAGUCUUAA
rnacentral:rRNA from 1 species